GCCUGAGUGGCUCAGUCGGUUAAGCGUCCGACUUCGGCUCAGGUCAUGAUCUCAUGGUUUGUGAGUUCGAGCCCCACGUCAGGCU
rnacentral:tRNA from 1 species